UUUUGUACCAUCCAAGCGUAGUGUGUUUAUGUUGCAAGUCUUUUGCAACCUGCCCACCAUGUUCUCUGGCAAACUUACGCCAGUUUAUAGCGGUUGUUCAAGGUCUCGUCCUCCUUGUCACACGUAACGUUUGCAAAUUUGGGAUGCAGGGACUAGGGAUGCAGGGACACAACUUGGAGAAACAUUUCCUACCAUGCCAAGACUAUAAUACAAUGAUAAUAAUUACUAUUAUUAUGCUCUUAAUUAAUUACAUGUAUGUACCUUUCUACCUAUAAUUAUCUUGUAUGUCAUUCUGUUGUAGGAUAAAUGUAGCUAGCUCCACCUGUAACUUGUGCAUGGAUAUGGCUGCAUGCCCGCUUACUUUGCUGAGAGGGUGGAGCUCAGUAUAUGCAAUAUAUGCAAAGGGGGUGGAGCUGCAAAGGGGGUGGAGCUGAGGUCAUGUGACGUUGGCUAGCUCUCUUAGAGUAGGAUCAGGAGUAGGAUCAGGAGUAGGCAGUGUAGUAUUGUUUCCAGUGUAGUAUUGUUUCCACAAAUGCGGAGUCUUUUUACUACUUUAGGCUAAAAGAAUAUACAUUUGUUAGUUUAAAUCUAGCUGAGGAAAGCUAAAGAAUCGGCCGAUCACCUGUGAUAAGUCCUGAUGCACCUGGCUCACCGCUGUUUCUUAGUGUUAAACUGAAUUGCGUUAAACUGAAUUGCAAUGAAAUAUUGAAAAAAUGGGUGUGGUUUCACACAAAUAAAUCAAGUAAACUUCUAACCAUGGUUAUGGGUAUUUCUAUGGGAAGAGUGUCUUAGAAAACAUUACAGCUGCAUCAAAUUACCUACGUAAUGAUACUACUUGCGCAGCAUACUCGCUAUUUUUUGCGCUUGCAUUAUCAUCACCACAAAGAUAGUGGCACCAUAGUAGCUUUCUUGUUAGCUCCACCAUGACUUCCACGAUAUGUUCUGUGUGUUCUGUGGUGUGUGGAAGGUUCUAUUUCGAAGAGAAAGAGUUGCUCUACAGAUAUGGCUGCAGUAGCUCUAAAGGAAUUAAAACAUAUUAAAAAUGAUGUCAAUAUUGUACAAAAGUACAAACAUUGUAAAUGAAGGUGACCAUUGUCAGCAGCAUAUUCUGGUCUGUGUCAAGUAUGUGGGGCCCCUUGAAAAGCUGAAGAAAAGACUUCAGCUAUCAAUAGCCAGACAGACCUGCAGGAGUACAUAUCUACAGAUAGUGAAAGUACACAUCUAGCAUCUCUGUCACAACAUUAUCCACUUCUCUAAGAAGGCAGAACGACAAAAUAGUGCUUAAUACAACCCCAAAAGGGUGAUAGCUACUUGGGGAAACCAUACAGAGAGUGACUGUUUCGUUUGUUUCCUUUGGAUUUGUACUCGCCAAGGAGGUUAGCCACAAAAGAGUUGCACCCAGGGUAGAUCCUCACCACAGGAGCAAUUCCAAAGCCUUCUUCCAGAGAGAAGUAACAAUGACGUCUUCUGAAGAGCAUGCACUUCCCAUUCUCCCAAAAUUGCACAGUCAUGCUAGAGAAGAGGACAUGCUAUAAAAGAGGAAUGGAAAGUAGGAUUAGCCGGGGAAGUAAGGGGCAGAAAAGCAUUCAAGCUUGUUUUAAGAGAACUUACCAGGCAUGCAAUUCCGAAUGAAAUUGACCGCCUGAAAUGUAUGCCAAAUAUUAUCUCCAUCUGGCACCAGCCAAAGUUGCUGCCAGACCACCACCUCUUAAAACAAAGAAGGCAACACAACUUACAAAUAUUCAGAAGUAGACAUCCUAUAACUCAUGUUAAAAAAAUAGCUACUGUCAAGUUUUAUACUAGCAUGUAGCUAGGAGCUUAAAGUUUAAUCUGCUACGCUUCUUUUGUCUCUAACACUUCUUACCUUAGGCUGCUUGUCAUGUUCUUGAUCUGGUUCUGUUAAAAGUCUUGUAAGUCUGCGACACAUUACUUAAUUUUGGUGUACCUUGGACUAAUGGAUAGCUAAAAGCAAGGGCUUUCUUUCCAUGUGAUUUGUUUCCUCUGUUUUGACAUCAUGUCCAGUAGGAAGCCACAAGUAACUUGCAUUACGUGAGCUUCCUGUUGGUCAUGGUACAUGAAUACUAAGGAAUGUGUUAUCUUCUCUACUUCCGGGAUAAACUAAGUGGUGCAAUUUACAUUGCGUGAAACAGCGGUGGGCUGGAGCCCUCAAACAGCAAGUUUUAUCUCUAACUUUGUACUUGGUCAUGAUUUAACAGCUAGUUCAUUACUAAGAAGGACGUCUUAGCUCUUGAAAGGGAGUGCUUCCCAUCCGCAUUUUAAUUAAUAAGAUUGAUACCUGCAUGACGUCAUCUUAUUAUUACAGACUUACACAAUCAGAUAAAAUUAAAUGUAAAUUUAACCCUUUCCCGGCUUAAGCCGUCAUAUGACGGCAGUGGUAGUGAUAAUUUUCAAAAAAUCGUUGUGGGCGCUGUGUUGGAGCUAUGCACACACUGUAGGUACCAGCACAUGCGCAUUGGGCUGCUCUUUCACAUGGUAUCUUUAAUAUCUUGCCUUGAGGUACGCUUUGUGCAGUACUGUCGAAAGAAAAGUGACCGUUUGAUAAUGGCUACAAGAUCUUUGUAGUACAACCUCAGCGAGGUUCUAGGACAGCUAGACAGUGAGAAUAACGAUACUUAUGGCCUUGUUGAGUAAGAGGACAGUGACUGGGAUCAUACCAAGAGAGGAAACUACUUCUCAGAGGUCAAGCUAUAAACAUAGAGCCUGAAGAGCCGGAGGAAGAAGCUCCUGAGCAUGAACCAAAGUCCUGGACCUUGUGAAGAAAACAUUUCCCGGGAAAAGAGCGUCUGCCGAUACGACCUCGCAGAGAAGUUUCUGCUGAUCCUGAUUGAACCAUGUCACCGUGAGAACAUUGAGAACACUUACUUAGUGUUUUUAGUUACUUCAUGCCUUCAUACAAUAUUCUUUAUGUUCAUAAUUGUGAAA